UCCUCAGUAGCUCAGUGGUAGAGCGAUCGGCUGUUAACCUACUGGUCGUAGGUUCAAAUCCUGUUUGGGGAG
rnacentral:tRNA from 1 species